UCGCUAUGGGAUGGCCCCGCGGUGCAUUAGCUAGUUGGUAAGGCAACGGCUUACCAAGGCAACGAUGCAUAGCCGAGUUGAGAGACUGAUCGGCCACAUUGGGACUGAGACACGGCCCAAACUCCUACGGGAGGCAGCAGUAGGGAAUCUUCCACAAUGGACGCAAGUCUGAUGGAGCAACGCCGCGUGAGUGAAGAAGGUUUUCGGAUCGUAAAGCUCUGUUGUUGGUGAAGAAGGAUAGAGGUAGUAACUGGCCUUUAUUUGACGGUAAUCAACCAGAAAGUCACGGCUAACUACGUGCCAGCAGCCGCGGUAAUACGUAGGUGGCGAGCGUUGUCCGGAUUUAUUGGGCGUAAAGCGAGCGCAGGCGGAAGAAUAAGUCUGAUGUGAAAGCCCUCGGCUUAACCGAGGAACUGCAUCGGAAACUGUUUUUCUUGAGUGCAGAAGAGGAGAGUGGAACUCCAUGUGUAGCGGUGGAAUGCGUAGAUAU
rnacentral:rRNA from 1 species